rnacentral:lncRNA from 1 species
GCCCCUCCCCCAGCCUCAUUACUGCCUUGCAGUUUGAUCUCAGACUGCUGUGCUAGCAAUCAGCGAGACUCCCUGGGCGUAGGACCCUCCGAGCCAGGUGUGGGAAAUAAUCUCCUGGUGCACCGUUUCCUAAGCCCGUCGGAAAAGCGCAGUAUUUGGGUGGGAGUGGCCCGAUUUUCCAGGUGCCCUCCUUUCCUUGACCAGGAAAGGGAACUCCCUGACCCCUUACGCUUCCCAAGUGAGGCAAUGCCUCGCCCUGCUUCGGCUGGCGCACGGUGCCCUGCACCCACUGUCUGGCACUCCCUAGUGAGAUGAACCCGGUACCUCAGAUGGAAAUGCAGAAAUCACCCAUCUUCUGCGUGGCUCAUGCUGGGAGCUGUAGACCAGAGCUGUUCCUAUUCAGCCAUCUUGGCUCCCGGAUCCAGUUUAACUUUUGCAGAGAGACAAGAUCUCUCUCCAUUGCCAACACUGGUCUCAAACUCCUGGCCUCAAGCAAUCAUCCAACCUCAGCCUUCUGAGUACCGGGAUUACAAGUGCGAGCCACUGUGCCCAGCUCCUGUUUCUACUUUCUUAAGGCAAACCACUUCAAUAGAACAUGGCUGGCGGCCAUAUGGACAUAUUUGAAUCCAACAAUUAAUUCAGCAAAGAAAGCUGCUUGUGGCAAGUUUUGAAUGUGCCAUUCCAGGUAGUGCUUUGAUGAUAAAUGAGGAGAAGAUUGCAAAGAAAAUGACAGCAACAUUUAUAAAAGGGUCUCAUGAAUAUAACACGAUGCCCAGCACAUAGAAAGCAUACAAUAAGUGUUUGUUGGAUAACUGUGGACAGUUCAGUCGACCAGCAAAUUCCUCUUAGGACUCUAGAUGCACGGAGAGUGGCCAGAUUAAUACAGACUGGCAAAAGAAGAACUUGGCAAAGUGAUUUGAUCACACACUUCUCACCCUCACAUCUCCUGACAGUUCCCCUAAUCCCUGCCCCACUUCCCCGCCAUGGGCUUCCAUCAGGAAACUCCUUGAUAUCAUCUUCGAGAAGAAAACUGAGGCAUAGAACAUUUGGGAAUGAAUCUAAGACUACACAUCUAGAAUAGCAGAGGAAGGCAAUGUAUCGCAUCCUGUAUUACCUUCCCCUGACCUCAUAGCUUCCCAAAACAGGAACAAUCAUGGGCUUUGAAGUUACAGGAAUGCAGAUGUGAUUCCUAUGGAUGAGGGUAACCUAGAGGCUAGAAGAACAAUAGGACAGAAGAAGCCUGGGUCCCUGAACAACCUUGUGGAGCAUAGACACCUACGUGGCCUGGACUGCCAGCUCACAAUGGGCCUCUCUGUGAGAGAAGGAAACUUCCCUCUUGUUUAAGCAACUGUGCUUUUGAGAAUCUCUUGGUCUAUACCCUAAUGAAUAAGGCCAUCAUAAAUGGAUAUCAAAGUAAGGAAAUUUGUGUAAAUGAUUUAAUAAAACAUUACCUCAGGUAUGAAAUAAUUCUACCUUGUGCCUUGACAACAUCAGGUAUUAUUCAUGCCCUUUUCUCUCCCUGUAAUGUCUCUUAUCCACGGGUAGAAAUUAUAUUUUCCAUCUAAGGUUUGCUCAAAUAUUAUCUACUUAAGUAGCUCUUACCAAUUUUGCCUCUCCUCCUGAGCUGACCCUAUGCCUUCUAUGCUGUUCCAGGUAAUAUUAAUCUCUUCCUUUGUACUUCUUUCACAGAACAUACUUUUUUGUCUAACAUAAUAACUAUAGGCAUAAGUGUAUAGAUUCCACUAGGGGCUUCAGAACAGAAACUAUCAUCUUAUUAAUUUUUUUCUCCCUGAUAUCUAGGGAAAUAUGUUAUAUAUAAUAGGCCCUUAGUAAUCCCAUAAAUGUUUGUGAGAUAUUCACUGACUAUAAGCCAUACUCUGUAUUUAUUUAGCUAAAACAGACGUCUUUCAUAUUUAGUUAGCAGAAAAUGCUCACAUUUACUCCUUUCCUGUUUACCAAAUGAAAGGGUAAUUGUUUUUUCACAGAUUGCACUAGAAAAGUGUCUUCUCUCUCUUUUUCAAAUAGAUUGUCUUUAAAACAUAUGACAGGAAAAGUGACUAUUGUUAGGAUAAGAUAAUUACGAUUGUAACAGCUAGUUUAAAAGAAGUGUCAGUUGCUCCUGUUUUAUUUUUCACAGGAUAGAGCUGCGGCCUGUCUCAGUAUGAUGUUUUCAGGAUCUGGUAUAUAUUUUUAUUUUCCUACAUGAAUCUUUCAUCCUUUUACUGACAUUUAUUCAUUUUAUCUAAUUAUCCUAAAAGGAAAGCUCUGGCCAGGCAAAUUGGUUGUUGUCUGCCUCUGAAGAGACAUUCAUAUCGCGUCGCUUAGCUUUCAAGUUUUGUGAUCAGGAACCCUCAGGCCCAUUUUUAAGGAGGUUUCAGGCUAGCUGAGCUUCACUGUCUCCCAAAAUGUACAAAAUGAGAUUACAUGAGGGACAAGAUCAAUUUACUGGAAGGUACUUAAGCAGUAAAUCUGGAGCUUUUUGUCCAGUCACUAUUGCUUUCAAGCUUUGUAGCAGAAAAUUAAGCCACAAGAGCUUUGACAAAUUAGAUAUUACUACCUCUAAUUGUGUAUGUUUAAGCUUAUCACACUGAAUUGCAGCAUUGUAACUGACUAUUAUGCCAACAAGGCCUUCGUUUAAUCAGCGCAGUGCCAUUUAAUCGCAAUUAAUCACUCAACUAAAAUGUCAUAUUAAGGUCACAGAAACUUGAAGGGCUAAAAGAAAAGAGAACAUUAAAGUCAGCUGAUGGAGGAAAAGAGCAUGGUGUGCCAAGGGAAGUUCUGAGCACUCUUUUUCAUUAGAAGCUGGUAGAACAUUUAAUGAGAAUUCAGUCUUAACUUUCAGCUGAGAUCAGAACAACGUGCC